rnacentral:siRNA from 1 species
UCAAGAGCUACGAGAAGCUGA